rnacentral:lncRNA from 1 species
CUAGGAAAACAUUCAGGACACAUAAAUAGUCCACGGUCCAGACACUGCUACCAGUAAAAGCACCAGGUCAAAGAUAGCAUCAAAACCACACAGCUGAGGCCUGGGAGCAGUCCUCAUCACAAUUAGAACACGGUUUCACUCCUUGGCGUCAUUUUCAGGAAACUGCAGAAGAACGCAUGGGUUCACAUUUGGAUCUUCUACAAGCCCUCCUCUUUAUCAUCAGUCUCUCAAUUUGCCAAUGCAGAAAUCCUCAAUUAUACCGAAGACUCUCGUGCCAUGUUGGGGUCUGAAAGUGCGUCGUGUUAAUACAUUUACUUCAGCCAGAAAAAAAAAACAGAAUGUACAAAGGCUGUUAAAGUGAAUACUAGAAAAUACUAAUGGUAAAAUCAGAUGUAGCCCUGUUAAAUCAGGAUAGCAAAACGUUGUUGUUUAAAAUUAUAAUUUAUCAAAGACUCUAGUGCCAUGUUGUGGGCUGAAAGCGCGUCGAGUUAAUACAUUUAUCUAAGCUAGAAAAUAGAAACAGCCCAAACAAUGAAAGUGAUUAAUAGAACAGAAGUACUAAUAGCAAAAUCAGAAGUAGCUCUCCCUGACAAAACUAUUAGGAUAAUAAACGUCCCCGUCAGGAUAAGAAAAAUACACAUCAAUGUUGUUUAAAAGGUUGCCCUUUAGAGCAUCCAUCUGUGCACAAAAUUGUCAAUUUAUUCAUGCAAAUAUUUUAUGUAUUAUUUUGGAUAACAGAAACACAUGUCCUACGGUGUCAAGGAUAUGGGCCAAGAAUGGCUUUCAGGUUCAGCACACAGACAGUUACAGUGGUAAAAAAAAAAUUCGUGAGCAGUUCCAAAACUAAAAAAUCACUGCACCAUAACUUCGGAAUGGGCCAGCAAUAGCAAAUCAUUUAGAGAAACAAUGAGAGCCUGAUCACCUUUGCAAGUUGUUGUAAUUGGAAAACUCGAAAUAUCCUUUGAUAAAUGUUAGUUGGUUAACUAAGUAAUGCAAUGUCCAUUCAAAAUUUAAAAUGGGUUAAGAAGUUCCAUGAGUCUAACACUUUAAAUUACAGAAUUACUACCUGACAAGAAGAUUACUAAUGGAUCUGUUGGUUAGUUUAACCUUAAAAGGAGCAGCAAGUUAAAGCCGGACAGUCGGGUGAUACAUGGUAAAUCAGCAACACAAUCAUGAAUCAUGGUUAAAGAAAACUUACUAGAAAAGUAUUGACAUAAUGAUGUAAUAUGUAUAAAUGAGACGUUACAAACCCAAAAAAUCCCUCUGUUGAAUUACUGCCACUCUGCCAGCAUUGUUUAGAAUGGCAUUACCACCUGGAUGCUCCUCCACAUAUGGAGUUACAUCAUAUACCUGGAUCAAUCACAAAUAGGAUGAAUGAUGAGAAUAUACGUUUUCCAAUUUCAAACUACUCAAUAAUGUGAGACGAUGGCAGUUGGUAAACAGGCAGAUUCUUUUGUUUCUAACCUUUUUCUUGAUUAUGAUCCAACAAUCUUUUCUUGUGUUGUGAGUUGAUACCUCUUUCUUUGAAUAGCUCCUAGAUGUCUGAAUUUGAAGCAGCAGUAAGCACAUAAUGAGUUGGCCUCGAAUUUUGGAUUAACCUGAACAAUCCUGUCUUUUGAUCACCACUCUAAAGCAUCAGACAUCUGCUAAACAUAAAAAUAGUAUGUUUUCUUAACAAAAUUGUAUGUUAAAUAAGCACAUUUUGGAUUAAGCUGGAACAAUCUUGUCCUUAAAUUAUCAAAAGUAAAGAAUUUACUCUAAAUCAUCAUGGGAUUGUUCAAGAAAAAGUGCUCGUUAAAAGUAUACUUUGGUGCAUUAGAGAAAACUACACUAUUGAAAUAUGGACAUUAUGGAGGAUGAAAUGCACCGUUUCAACCCCCCCUGAAUGUGUUUCCUUUCCUUUACCUGCAUUACGACAUUUACUCAGCAGUCAGUUCCAAUAAAUUUUAAUAGACUUCGCUUAAGAUUAGAGUGUCACACCCUUUUUUACCUUUGAUGUUGGAUCGUGGGAUAACAAAGAGUGUCCCCAGCACAAGGAGCAAAAGAAGUGAGAUAACGAUGAUAAUUUCCAUUGCGCGUGCACACCAGGAACUAGUGGUCUGCACUGCAAAACAAAAUUGGUUUCAGUGAGCAAUAAUUACAGGCAGCAGACAUGAUAACGAUGACUGGGAGAAAUAAUACAAAGAUCUCAAUCUUUACAAUUUUUAUAGUAAAUCUAAUGAGUUACAGGGUUACUGGCUCACUGAGUCUCUUUUUUGGAUAAAGGAGAUCUUCCAUUCCAAUUCAGUAGGAUUACGGUCAUGAUGCAGACAGUUACAGAUAUAGCUUGGGAAGGAGCUCAGCCAGCGAGGUCCCCUGUUUAGCAUUAGCCCCAUGUUUUGCACACAAAUGAGCUGCUACAUUAGCAGUUCUGUGGACAGAUUGCGAAAAACAAGUAAAAACCCUACAAAUCUCCUUGAUUUCACCAAGAAUUGAAGCCACUUGGGAACGAGAGAAGUUAUCUUCCUGCCACAUCUUGGUUAGCACCUGGGAGUCGCUCUCCAGCACGAUCCUUUGGAUUCCGGAACUGAAGCUCACUGACACACUGUCACUGUGUCCACAGUUCACUAAACUCCGAGAAAACACAAGAAAAUUAAUCGACAUUGCAUAGUUGCCGCAGCCUAGAUUGUUCUAGAGGGCGGAUCUAGAUGGUGUGCUGGGUGGGUGUGCACCGGCACAUCCAGAAAUUGCGAAGGUCAGUGGGAUUUAACUAAUCCCUGGAUGCAAACAACCUCAUACCUCGACCCUAAAUGCCCAAAUCUCAUACCUCAAACCCUAAUGCCCAAAUACUGUGGACGGAGUGGAGACAGCACGGAUGAGAUAUCGCGAUGAGAAUGAACUGGAGGACGAUGGCAGCCACGCGCGUCAGAGGCGGAGGGGUUGAAGAUCGGGGAGCGACGGGCAGGAUCGAGAGACGCGCGCAGGUGAGGAAAACAGAAAGGAACGGCAGAAAGUGGAGCGGGAUUUGUCCAAGCUAUCUUCGCUCAAAGUAAACCGAGACGGCAAAGACUGAACGGGAUCAGACCUGAGGUAACAGGUCUUGGUUUGGUAGUAGCAUAGUUAAACCGUAACUGCACAAAUAGCCUGAGCAGCGAGCCUCCUCUCCAACCAGAGGUACCAGCAUUAUCAGAAGGACAGACUUCUUAGUUCAACCACAACACCAAACCAACUUUUGAUCUUUCAUUGUUUUUUUCUUUUCUUUUCUGGGAUACUUGAUCUUUGAUUGUGAACACCCUGCAUAUAUGGUUGCACCGCCUCGAUGACCGCCCUGCAAUCAGUUUCCGGUGGAUCGACGCUCGACGUAUCCCGUCCCUGCAAGCAAACAUUUCGGCUUCCAUGGCACAGCCAGCAGCAGCUGAUAUGUUCUGCUUAGAAUCUGAAGAAAUGAACCAACGAAGUGCAAACUAGAACCAACUGAACCGGCACGUUCAUCAAUAUAUAAGAAGGGAACAAAACGCAGUAAUGGAUAAUUGUACAAUCACAUAUAACUCGGACAAUGCCAGAAAUGAACCGAUAGAAAGAAAAGAAAAAGAUUCAACACACAGAAAUAUACUAGCAACUAAACAGUACGCAUUGACUAACAUGAAAACAAGACAUCGUGCUAAGAAGAAUUAAUGCGUGGACCCGAAAUGCUCAGCCAUUGCCCGAAUGUUCUCCAGUAGAGCUAGUGGCGUCGUUCUGAUCCGCCGCGGCUGCACUCGGCCUUGUAGCACCCCCGGUGUCGGCAGCAGUAGCGAAAGAAUGGCUCUUCGCCGAACCUAUCAUCUGGUCACUUUUGGACGAACGCCCCCCUGUGGUGGCGCUACUCCCAGCCCCAGUUGACGACGACAUGUAGGAGCUCCAUCCGUGCACUGCGUGUGGCCGCGCGUAUGUCGCCACAGGCAUCUCCGGUGGCAGGUCCGGAAGCUGCGCCUCGCACCGGAGCACGUUCAGGGCUUGUCGAAUGGACGGCCGGAAGCCGUAGUCUGGGUGCACGCACCAAAGGCCCACCACCAGCACCCGCUCCAUCUCUUGCGCGUCGAAGCCGCCGUCGAGCCGUGCAUCCACCGCGUCCAAGAGCAUCUUUCGCCCGUGGAGCGCCCAGACCCAAUCCACGAGCACGACCUUGCUCUCGUCCCUGUGCUCGAUGACGGGCCUACGACCACAAGCGAUCUCCAGCAGGACGACCCCAAAGCUGUAGACAUCUGACUCGGUGGUGGCCCUUCCGCUGUACACGUACUCCGGAUCCAUGUAGCCCCUGGUGCCGGCAACCUGCGCCGUUGUGAACCCACCGCGGCUGUGAUCGACGAGCCUUGCGAGCCCGAAGUCUCCUAGCUUGGCGUUGAAAGAUGAAUCCAGCAUCACGUUGCUCGGCUUGAUGUCCCUGUGCAAGACACACUGCUCGCAUUCCUGGUGGAGGUAAAACAGAGCAGAGCCCAUGCCGAGAAUGAUCUUGUACCUAGCACACGAUCGAGUAGUAUAUAUUAGGCCUGAUCUGUAAAAACAAUUUCUGUUUAAUUGCUGAAUAAUGGAUACCUGGUUGGCCAUGCUAGGACUUGUUUGGAAUUGUAGAGAUGGACGUCAAGGCUGCGGUUCUCCAUCAACUCGUAGACGAGCAGGAACUCAUCUGAUUUAUGGCACCACCCGACAAGGUUGACGAGAUUGCGAUGCCUCAGCCUUCCGAUGAUGGUCACCUCUGCGAUGUACUCUCUCCUUCCUUGGCGCGACGUCUCGGAGACCUUCUUGAUGGCCACAUGGAGCACCUGCUCUUGCAAGAACCCUCGGUAGACUGCUCCGAACCCGCCCCCGCCCAGCUUCUCCUUUUCGGAGAAUCCCUGUGUCGCCUGUGAGAGCUCGGUGUAACUAAAUUUUCGAGGGCCGCACAUCUCGAACUCCUCGUCCAUGUCUUGGUCAAGGUGGAUCUCUGCAUCUUCUAAUUGCAUGCCCUUCCUUUUAUGAUAUUGGAGGUAGCCGACCCAUGCGGCUAUUGCGAGCAAUAUGAAGACACCACCGGAUACUAGCCCGGCUACGAGACCUAUGUUUUUGGUCGUUGUGUCUGUCCAUAAACACAUCAAGUUAAUUAGUAAAUUUUAUCCACUCAGUAGAUUGUCGCAAAAAAAAAAAGAAUUUGUGAUGGAACGAUAACAGAUCGAUACAGAUUUUCUCCCCAGGAAAAUAUAUAUGUGUGUGAUACAUGUCACCAAAGCGAUAUCAGGGGAUUCGCGCUGCAAGGGCAACCGCCGUUCCCGCCGUAUUUGACAGCAGUUCAAGUCAAUCAAACGGCAAAAUUAAACAAGCUAAGCACAGGCCGAAGCCACUUACCGGUCAUAGUGGACUCGAAUGACCAAGCAAGAAUCUGGUGCAGCUCGCUGGAAUUCCCGGUGGCCGCCGAGAACCCGACCGCCGCGUCCUGCGGCAGACCGGCCUCCCGCAGGUCAACGUUGGCGCUGACGGUGACAGGACCCUGCCGCGGUGGGUCGACGAACCACAGGGUGGCGGAGAGCGUGGCCGCUUUGGCAUCGUACCUGACCAACGCCGACAUGAUCCCGUUCAAGCUCCCGCUCGUAAGGUUUUCGUACUUGAUGGACCUGAUGUCAUUGACGUCGAUGCCGAUGUGGUCGAUGAUGGGACUUGGAGGGUCCCAACCGUCGUUCCUGUUGGUGUCCAACUCCACGGCGACGGUCCGCGGGAGAGUGUUGGCCGAGUUGUUGGGGUUGUUGAACAGGGCCAGGAACCCGCCCCUCGCGUCCUGCGGCAUCUCCACCGGCAUCUCCCGCGGGCUCGUAGUAUACGGCGCCACGAAGAACGCCAUCCCAUCGCCCCGCGGCCGGCCGUCGCUGGACUCGACGAUGGCGAAGGUGAAGCUGCUGGUGAAGCUGGCGACGUACUUCUUGUCCUCCCAGAGACGCACCGGUUGCAUGUGUGCUACGCGCCCGGUACUCCACGACCUCGAGGUGUUCGUCAGCUCGAUCCGAUCCGUGGCGGCGGCAGAGUCCUCCAUGUACUUGAGGAUGCCAGCGUCUGUGAGGACACCGGCGUCGGCGCCGGAGAAGUUGUAGUUGAAGCUAAGCGAGGUGGCACAGGGAAAUAUUACCAGGAGGAGCAAGCAGGGGAAGCUGAGGCCGAGAAGGCAACUCGAUGUCUUCAUCUCCAUGGCCUUGUGUGCAAAUUAAGGCAAGCUCUUGGUUAGGAACGUGUUAAAUUAAUGUCCAGGCUAUAUGUCUACAUAUAUAAUGAGCCAGCUGCCGUACUAGUCUUCUCACUGGUCUCGUCUACAGUCCACUCUCGUCGUCGAUAACUGUUCAGGCAAAGCUUUCUUAAUUGAUCGGCCUUCUGAUCUUCCCCGUUCCACGAAUGCCACUUUAAGCGCUAGGUAUUGUCUGAUGUUAGAGUGAUCUUCCAUCCGUGUGGGCCCAACGGCCCAUCGGGUUUAGAUCUGAUGCGCCCUGAUCGGGGUCGCCCAACCCAAUAUGUUGGCGAGCCCCUGUCACGCUACGCUAUAUGAAGAGGUGGGGGCCGGGCACGCACUACGAGGUUCCUCUGCGUAGCCGUCACCCCACCGACACACAUAACCCGAUCUAAAGGAUAGGCGCAGACAGCGACGGGAAGCCCCGCCACUGCUUCAUCCGACGCCGGUAGUCGCUCCCUCCACGCCGACCAUGACAACCACGCCGGGAUCCUCUAGCCAAGGAGAAGGUACUCUCUCCCCUCUCUCUCUCUCUAUCUAUCUAUAUCCCGAACCAAGGUUAUUCACAGAAAAGCUAUCCCUACCCCGGUUGAUCUACACUAGAUGUUCCUAGGAUACUAACAUUGGUAUCAGAGCGAAUUAAAAGUUGUAGAUCUGCUCGGGAUAGAAAAAAAAAGAAAAAAACAGAAGAAAAGCAAAAAGAGAGACUAACCCUAACCCUAACAGUCUUACCCGAGGAUGGCACCGCCGAGGUUCUCGCCGCCGGUCGCCGUUGCUUGGCGUCACUGGGAAAGGGCGCCACCGCCGACCCCUUGACGACGCCGCAUGCACCGCCGGGUGCACGCGCUCGCCGGCAAGAGGCCAGCGAUGCCGCCAUCUUUGACAGUGCCAUGGGCGCCGUCAAGGAACAGAGGGGGUUGGGGGAGAAAAGCCGCCGGGGCGGGCUCGCCGUCGCCGGCGGGCGGCCGAAAGGCGCGGGCGCCGCCGCCAGAGGAGAGGAAGGAGGCGCUAGGGUUUCAAUCGAAACCCUAGGGUUCCAGCCACCCCGUUUUAAGCGGGCUAAAGUGGCGGCGGGCCGCCCUGAACGGUUCAGAUCGAACCUGGCGCGGGCGUGGGCCGUGGGCCGCGGGCCGCGUGCGCUAAAGCAGGCCGCGAGGGCGCUGGCUGGGCCGUGGGCCGCGCGCGGCAGCCCAGCGCGAGAGCAGGCUGGCGUCGGGCCAGAGAGAAUAGGCCGUGGGCAGCGUGCGCCAUGGGCCGGGGGCUGCGCCAGCCGAAAGACUUACUGUUUAAGUUCAGAUUUUGCACGAAUUUUGGUCUAAUUUUUCCUCCUAUUCAAAUUGAACCAACGAGUUGUUUGUUUUAGAAAAUAGUAAAGUGCAAAAUGAUGCUUCCGAAAAAUAUGAAGUUAUGAAUGUUGUUCAUAGUUUCCGCUGCAAAUAGUUUAAAAGUGUUGUUUAAAUAUGAAAAGAACAUGAUUGAAAGUGUUUUAUGUUAAUUGUGAUUCUGUAUUGAUGAGAUAUUCUCUAUGCUAUAACUACUUUUAGGGAUGAAUUGAGAGCUUCUGUAAGGGUGUAACCGUCCAACUCAAUAAUCAGCAACCAUUAGGCUUUCGCUCUUCUCUUGUCUUGUGCAAUGUCCCAGAUACACCUGACCAAAUUUAUCAAUAGAAUGCCUCUUGCUAUUGUGCGCGUCACUAUUACUUCAUGAACAGAAGUAUGAGCCAGAUGAAAGUUUAGACGUGUCCCCUUAAGCCCAACUGUGUGAAAUUCUCAGACCUGACCAUGGGAAAACUUGACCAAGCAAACCUUUUCAUCAUCAUGAUUGAAAUUCAUAUGGAAGUUGGCACAAUUCGUUGUCCGCUCUCAGAAAGUUCCAUAAAUCCAAGGCAAGAUAUCUUCAGAUAAAUCUAGGAAAACAUUCAGGACACAUAAAUAGUCCACGGUCCAGAGACUGCUACCAGUAAAAGCACCAGGUCAAAGAUAGCAUCAGAACCACACAGCUGAGGCCUGGGAGCAGUCCUCAUCACAAUUAGAACACGGUUUCACUCCUUGGCGUCAUUUUCAGGAAACUGCAGAAGAACGCAUGGGUUCACAUUUGGAUCUUCUACAAGCCCUCCUCUUUAUCAUCAGUCUCUCAAUUUGCCAAUGCAGAAAUCCUCAAUUAUACCGAAGACUCUCGUGCCAUGUUGGGGUCUGAAAGUGCGUCGAGUUAAUACAUUUACGUCAGCCAGAAAAAAAAACAGAAGGUACGAAGGCUGUUAAAGUGAAUACUAGAAAAUACUAAUGGUAAAAUCAGAUGUAGCCCUGUUAAAUCAGGAUAACAAAACGUUGUUGUUUAAAAUUAUAAUUUAUCAAAGACUCUAGUGCCAUGUUGUGGGCUGAAAGCGCGUCGAGUUAAUACAUUUAUCUAAGCUAGAAAAUAGAAACAGCCCAAACAAUGAAAGUGAUUAAUAGAACAGAAGUACUAAUAGCAAAAUCAGAAGUAGCUCUCCCUGACAAAACUAUUAGGAUAAUAAACGUCCCCGUCAGGAUAAGAAAAAUACACAUCAAUGUUGUUUAAAAGGUUGCCCUUUAGAGCAUCCAUCUGUGC